UUUCUCUCUUGCCUUAGCCACCCACUUUUUAAAUUUAGUUCAAACAGUGUUUGAAUUUAAAUGUAAAAUUAAUCUCUGUAUUCUAGCCAUUUGUGUGCACCUAUAGGUAACACUCCCUCUAGUGCUUAGUUGGUGAACCGACGGUUGCCUCCACGGCGGAUCACAGUGAGCUGCCACGGGAUCCCGACUGGAUCACCUCGAUCCAUCACUAAGCCUAACCCAUAGAAUACUGACCCUUCCAACUAGUGAAACCCCAAAAUCAGGUUUCUCCUCAACCUUUAAGAGACCGAACCUUUGAGAAUCAUCAGAGAAAGCCAAGUAAUAGAUUGACGACCCAAGCUGCCAAAGUCUUUAGAUGAUCACGCCGUCAACAAUCUUUUGUUAGAUCCUUUCCGGUGCCCCACAACAAUUAGACUCACCUUGCCAUUCAUGGCUGAGAUAACAGGUGCCAAGUCUACCCUCCGUUAACUGUUUGUAUCCAUCAAACAGACCGAGCAUAGAACAUAAAAAUUACUAUAAUUGUAGCCUGCUAACGCUAUAAGAACUUGCAUUGGCCUGUGUGCUGUCCCUUCCCCUCUCUCCCUCUCUCUCUUCACCAGUGAGCCAACAUGUCUCGAUCAUCCAGCCCUGAUGCCCACUGGGAUCGACUAGAGACCUGGCUGAGUGCCCUGACUAGCACCCUUAUUCCUGAAGCCGCCGGGGACCUGCAGAACAUGAGCCGGGAACAGCUCGACGACAACCUGAGCGCCUUGAUGGCCCACGAUCCGACACAGGACUACAGCCACAAAGAGCUGGCCAAGAUCGUCGGGUCACUGGCCCAUAACCUCCUUGGCCAGGCAAAGCUGAGUGAAGCAAGCAUCUCCCGCCGGGAACAGGAAGCAGCAGCGCUGAAGCUCCAGGCUGAGGAAGCUCAGAGAAACUGGAUGCGCGCUCAGAGUCAACUGGCAGAGUCAUUUUUUGAAUGACAGUGCCUUUUUCAUCUGACACAGGCCUUCCGAAAAUUUGAUGAAGUUGCUGGGAAACUGACUGAGCAGUUACGCAAGGUACAGGAAGCAAUGCACAAUCGGGAUGAAGAAUCCUUAAAAGAAAUAUGUCCAAGACUAUGAUGAGUUUCUGGAGAGAUGUAUUAAUGGCACAAGCCAAAAUCUGCCUUUAACCAGGAGAACUACAGCAUGGUAGAAAAGAUCUUCCACAAGUCAUUGGAGUUCUCCAAUGAGCAUGACACUUGGAAACUUAAUGUUGCUCAUGUGCUCUUCAUGUAAGAUAACAAAUAUAAAGAAGCCAUUGGGUAAUGUGAGCCAUUGUUAAGAAAUAUUAUGAGAAUGUAAGUUUGAUAGUAUUAAAAGGUCAGAUGUUUCAUGUCCACUGUGUCAUAUUAGGUUUUCUGAUAAUUUUAACUGUAAAUGUACUGUAUGUAAAUGAGCCCUAUUAAAAG